rnacentral:rRNA from 1 species
GAUGAACGCUAGCGGCAGGCUUAAUACAUGCAAGUCAAGGGGUAGCAAUACACCGGCGUACGGGUGCGUAACGCGUAUGGAACCUGCCCUUAUCUGGGGGAUAACUCGGGGAAACUCGAGCUAAUACCGCAUAAGAUAGUAGAGAGGCAUCUCUUAGCUAUUAAAGAUUUAUCGGAUAAGGAUGGCCAUGCGUAAGAUUAGAUAGUUGGGGAGGUAACGGCUCACCAAGUCUACGAUCUUUAGGGGCUCUGAGAGGAGAAUCCCCCACACUGGCACUGAGAUACGGGCCAGACUCCUACGGGAGGCAGCAGUAGGGAAUAUUGGGCAAUGGGCGGAAGCCUGACCCAGCCACGCCGCGUGCAGGAAGACGGCCCUCUGGGUUGUAAACUGCUUUUAACUGGGAAGAAAGCAGCUCAUGCGUGAGAAUUUGACGGUACCAGUUGAAUAAGCACCGGCUAACUACGUGCCAGCCGCCGCGGUAAAAC